rnacentral:rRNA from 1 species
UACGUAGGCGGCGAGCGUUGUUCGGAGUUACUGGGCGUAAAGGGUGUGUAGGCGGUCCUCUAAGUUUGGUGUGAAAUCUCCCGGCUCAACCGGGAGGGUGCGCCGAAAACUGGGGGACUUGAGUGCAGGAGAGAAGAGUGGAAUUCCACGUGUAGCGGUGAAAUGCGUAGAGAUGUGGAGGAACACCAGUGGCGAAGGCGACUCUUUGGCCUGUAACUGACGCUGAGGCGCGAAAGCGUGGGGAGCAAACAGG